rnacentral:rRNA from 1 species
UUUGGAAUAUUGGACAAUGGGCGAAAGCCUGAUCCAGCGACGCCGCGUGGACGAUGAAGGCCUUCGGGUCGUAAAGUCCUUUUGCUUGGGAAAAAUCUUUGAUUGUACCAAGAGAAUAAGAGGUUGCUAACUCUGUGCCAGCAGCAGCGGUAAUACAGAGACCUCAAGCGUUAUCCGGAAUCAUUGGGCGUAAAGCGUACCGAUAGGUGGUUUAGAAAGUCAGAAGUGAAAUCUCCGAGCUUAACUCGGAAUCUGUCUUUUGAAACUUCUAAACUAGAGGGGCAAAGAGGAAGCUGGAACAAACGGUGUAGUAGUGAAAUGCGUUGAUAUCGUUUGGAACACCAAUAGCGUAGGCAGGCUUCUGGGUGCCACCUGACACUGCUAGGACGAAAGCGUGGGUAGCGAUAAGG